AGAAAACAAUGUUCUUACUAGUGCUGCCGCGAUUAGUCGACUUAAUCGACCUAAUCGACCAUGAAAAUUAGUCGACGGCAUUUUUUUUAGUCGAAGAGUCGUUUUACUAUUGACCACCUAUUUAUUUUUGGUCUCCCGUCUCAAAUGGCUCACUGUAAUGUUAUUAACUCUUGAAAAGGACGACUGUCUUUGGAUGUUAAACAGUCUACUUAGACUUUGGCAGUCAUGUUUUAAACCCUGCUAAGGUUGCAAGUGGAAACGCAUGUAGCAAAGCUGCGUGCCUGCCUGCUUUCAGCGCGAUUCAUUAUUAGGCAGUUAAGCGGGGGACCU